rnacentral:rRNA from 1 species
AUGUAUGCCCGCUGUGGUUCACUGAAGGAAGCCAGCCAGGUGUUCGAGGAAAUAGCUCAGAGGGGAAUUGAUGAUGUCAUAUCAUGGAAUUCAAUUGUUGCAGCCCAUGUUAAACACAAUAGUCCAUGGACCGCGUUGGAUAUGUUCUCGAAAAUGGCAAUGAUUGUCCACGAGAAGGCUACAAAUGAUAGGUCUGACAUCAUUAGCAUUGUGAACAUUCUUCCUGCAUGUGCUUCUCUAAAGGCACUACCUCGAACUAGAGAAAUUCAUGGAAAUACCAUUCGGCAUGGUACAUUUCCAGAUGUUUUUGUAGGCAAUGCUCUGGUUGAUACUUAUGCAAAAUGUGGUUCAAUGAAGGAUGCGGUAAAGGUUUUCAAUAUGAUGGAAAUCAAAGAUGUUGUUUCUUGGAAUGCAAUCGUGACUGGCUACUCCCAAAGUGGGAACUUUGAGGCAGCCUUUGAGAUUUUUAAGAAUAUGCGCAAGGAAAACAUCUCACAGAAGCCAAAUUCUGUCACAAUCAUCUCUGUGCUGUCUGCUUGUGCUUCCUCGGGGGCAUACUCUCAGGGUAUGGAAACUCAUGCCUACUCUCUGAAGAAUUGUCUUCUAUCUUUGGAUAACCAUUUUAGUGGUAAUGGCGAUGAUGAGGAUCUCAUGGUGCACAAUGCAUUAAUAGAUAUGUACUCAAAGUGCAGAAUCUUCAGAGCUGCACGUUCUAUAUUUGAUUCUAUACCCCGAAAGGAACGUAAUGUGGUGACUUGGACUGUGAUGAUAGGUGGUUAUGCACAAUAUGGGGACUCAAAUGAUGCCCUCGAGCUUUUCUCACAGAUGGUCUUGAAACCACACGCAGUUGCUCCAAAUGCAUUUACGGUUUCCUGCAUUCUGAUGGCCUGUGCACAUCUGUCAGCCCUGCGUGUUGGUAAGCAAAUCCAUGCUUAUGUGGUUCGUCAACAUCAAUAUGAAGCAUCUACAUACUUUGUGGCAAACUGUCUUAUUGACAUGUACUCAAAGUGUGGUGAUGUCGAUACAGCUAGGUAUGUAUUUGAUGGCAUGUCACAAAGGAAUGACAUUUCAUGGACAUCAAUGAUGGCAGGAUAUGGGAUGCAUGGUCGUGGCAAUGAGGCCCUGGAAAUAUUUGACAAGAUGCAAAUGGCAGGCUUUGUUCCUGAUGAUAUAUCAUUCCUGGUUGUUCUAUAUGCUUGCAGCCAUUCUAGAAUGAUUGAUCGAGGCCUGGAUUACUUUGACAGCAUGAGCAGAGACUACGGUGUGGCUGCCAGUGCAGAGCAUUAUGCUUGUGUCAUUGACUUGCUGGCCCGCUCCGGGCAGAUAGAUAGGGCAUGGAAUAUGGUCAAGGACAUGCCAAUGGAGCCUACUGCAGUAGUCUGGGUUGCAUUGCUUAGUGCCUGUAGAGUACAUUCAAAUGUAGAACUUGCUGAAUAUGCUCUUAACAAGCUAGUCGAGAUGAAUGCAGAGAAUGAUGGAUCUUACACGCUCAUCUCCAACAUAUAUGCUAAUGCAAGGCGUUGGAAGGAUGUAGCCAGAAUCAGAAACCUGAUGAAGAACUCCGGGAUUAAGAAGAGGCCCGGUUGUAGUUGGGUCCAGGGUAAGAAAGGAACUGCGUCUUUCUUUGUUGGAGAUCGAUCGCAUUCUCUAUCCCCUCAGAUUUAUGCCCUUCUGGAGAGACUGAUUGAUCGCAUCAAAUCUAUGGGUUAUGUCCCUGAGACAAAUUUUGCACUCCAUGAUGUCGACGAUGAGGAGAAAAAUAACCUUCUUGCUGAGCACAGCGAGAAGCUUGCUCUCGCAUAUGGCCUCCUCACAACUUCCCCUGGAUGUCCAAUAAGGAUCACAAAGAACCUGCGCGUUUGUGGUGAUUGCCACAGUGCUUUCACCUACAUCUCAAAGAUUGUUGACCAUGAGAUCAUUGUGCGGGACUCCAGUCGCUUCCAUCAUUUUAAGAAUGGUGUGUGCUCUUGUGGUGACUAUUGGUGA